CACACACUCUUACUGCCGCACAGCUAGACCAGCAGCUACUCAGUCAGUGGGAGGGGCUGUUUUCCUGCAGGUCAGUGGAGGCGGUCGGCCGGUAGAAUGUGUGUGUCCGAGCGUCUCUCUCUGACCCUCCUGCUCCUCUAUGGAGGCUGCUGCUUACUCUUCAGCCCUCUGGGAACAAAAGCUCAAGAGCUGAACUGCACGUGUCAAGUGGAACAUGGACGAUGUGACGAGGACACUGGUGAAUGCAAGU